AGUGAACGCUGGCGGUAGGCCUAACACAUGCAAGUCGAACGGCAGCACAGUAAGAGCUUGCUCUUACGGGUGGCGAGUGGCGGACGGGUGAGGAAUACAUCGGAAUCUACUUUUUCGUGGGGGAUAACGUAGGGAAACUUACGCUAAUACCGCAUACGACCUACGGGUGAAAGCAGGGGAUCUUCGGACCUUGCGCGAUUGAAUGAGCCGAUGUCGGAUUAGCUAGUUGGCGGGGUAAAGGCCCACCCAGGCGACGAUCCGUAGCUGGUCAGAGAGGAGGGUCGGCCACAUUGGAACUGAGACACGGUCAAGACUCCUAAGGGAGGCAGCAGUGGGGAAUAUUGGACAAUGGGCGCAAGCCUGAUCCAGCCAUACCGCGUGGGUGAAGAAGGCCUUCGGGUUGUAAAGCCCUUUUGUUGGGAAAGAAAAGCAGCAGGUUAAUACCCCGCUGUUCUGACGGUACCCAAAGAAUAAGCACCGGCUAACUUCGUG
rnacentral:rRNA from 1 species